rnacentral:rRNA from 1 species
GAUGAACGCUGGCGGCGUGCCUAAUACAUGCAAGUCGAGCGAACGGACGAGAAGCUUGCUUCUCUGAUGUUAGCGGCGGACGGGUGAGUAACACGUGGAUAACCUACCUAUAAGACUGGGAUAACUUCGGGAAACCGGAGCUAAUACCGGAUAAUAUUUUGAACCGCAUGGUUCAAAAGUGAAAGACGGUCUUGCUGUCACUUAUAGAUGGAUCCGCGCUGCAUUAGCUAGUUGGUAAGGUAACGGCUUACCAAGGCAACGAUGCAUAGCCGACCUGAGAGGGUGAUCGGCCACACUGGAACUGAGACACGGUCCAGACUCCUACGGGAGGCAGCAGUAGGGAAUCGUACGCAAUGGGCGAAAGCCUGACGGAGCAACGCCGCGUGAGUGAUGAAGGUCUUCGGAUCGUAAAACUCUGUUAUUAGGGAAGAACAUAUGUGUAAGUAACUGUGCACAUCUUGACGGUACCUAAUCAGAAAGCCACGGCUAACUACGUG